GGCAAGGUGGCCGAGUGGUCCAAGGCGCCACGUUAAGGCCGUGGUCUCGUUCAGGGGCGUGAGUUCGAAUCUCACCCUUGUCA
rnacentral:tRNA from 1 species